CUUGAGUUUGCUUAAGAGAUCCUGAAAGCGAGUGGGAUGAUGCGUUUUGGUGAAUAUAUCAGCGGUUUGGCUGAUAGAGGAGACAGGAAUCAAACUGAACGGGNNNNNCGACGAAGAGUAGUGCUAGGAGCAGAUGCAGGCGCAGGUACUGGAUCAACAACUGGUGCAGAUUCAACAGAGACAGGUAAACUGGACGGGUAGAACUACGAAGAGUAGUGCUAGGAGCA
rnacentral:misc_RNA from 1 species